CAUUCUCAAACCUUUUUGGUUUCUUGACCAAGAAGGCUUUGGACUCUGGAGGUUCUUGCUGGCCUUUCUUUAUUGAAGCCAGCUCCUCUGAAAUGAAUUAGUGGGAUCCACUUUGCCGAUCCUUGACGUGAUAAGAUAUUUCUACGUCUUGGGUCUCGCACCGUUUCGCUCUGGAUCCUGCUUCUAACCGUCUCAUAGAAGACAAUGGUUGAGUGAUUGCCACUUGACCCACAAA
rnacentral:misc_RNA from 1 species